rnacentral:rRNA from 1 species
CACGUAGGGCGCGAGCGUUGUCCGGAAUUAUUGGGCGUGAAGAGCUCGUAGGCGGCCUGUUGCGUCCGCUGUGAAAGCCCGGGGCUUAACCCCGGGUCGGCAGUGGAUACGGGCAGGCUAGAGGUAGGUAGGGGAGAAUGGAAUUCCCGGUGUAGCGGUGAAAUGCGCAGAUAUCGGGAGGAACACCAGUGGCGAAGGCGGUUCUCUGGGCCUUACCUGACGCUGAGGAGCGAAAGCGUGGGGAGCGAACAGG